rnacentral:rRNA from 1 species
GGGUUGUGAGGUUAAGCGACUAAGCGUACACGGUGGAUGCCCUGGCAGUCAGAGGCGAUGAAGGACGUGCUAAUCUGCGAUAAGCGUCGGUAAGGUGAUAUGAACCGUUAUAACCGGCGAUUUCCGAAUGGGGAAACCCAGUGUGUUUCGACACACUAUCAUUAACUGAAUCCAUAGGUUAAUGAGGCGAACCGGGGGAACUGAAACAUCUAAGUACCCCGAGGAAAAGAAAUCAACCGAGAUUCCCCAGUAGCGGCGAGCGAACGGGGAGCAGCCCAGAGCCUGAAUCAGUGUGUGUGUUAGUGGAAGCGUCUGGAAAGGCGCGCGAUACAGGGUGACAGCCCCGUACACAAAAAUGCACAUGCUGUGAGCUCGAUGAGUAGGGCGGGACACGUGGUAUCCUGUCUGAAUAUGGGGGGACCAUCCUCCAAGGCUAAAUACUCCUGACUGACCGAUAGUGAACCAGUACCGUGAGGGAAAGGCGAAAAGAACCCCGGCGAGGGGAGUGAAAAAGAACCUGAAACCGUGUACGUACAAGCAGUGGGAGCACGCUUAGGCGUGUGACUGCGUACCUUUUGUAUAAUGGGUCAGCGACUUAUAUUCUGUAGCAAGGUUAACCGAAUAGGGGAGCCGAAGGGAAACCGAGUCUUAACUGGGCGUUAAGUUGCAGGGUAUAGACCCGAAACCCGGUGAUCUAGCCAUGGGCAGGUUGAAGGUUGGGUAACACUAACUGGAGGACCGAACCGACUAAUGUUGAAAAAUUAGCGGAUGACUUGUGGCUGGGGGUGAAAGGCCAAUCAAACCGGGAGAUAGCUGGUUCUCCCCGAAAGCUAUUUAGGUAGCGCCUCGUGAAUUCAUCUCCGGGGGUAGAGCACUGUUUCGGCAAGGGGGUCAUCCCGACUUACCAACCCGAUGCAAACUGCGAAUACCGGAGAAUGUUAUCACGGGAGACACACGGCGGGUGCUAACGUCCGUCGUGAAGAGGGAAACAACCCAGACCGCCAGCUAAGGUCCCAAAGUCAUGGUUAAGUGGGAAACGAUGUGGGAAGGCCCAGACAGCCAGGAUGUUGGCUUAGAAGCAGCCAUCAUUUAAAGAAAGCGUAAUAGCUCACUGGUCGAGUCGGCCUGCGCGGAAGAUGUAACGGGGCUAAACCAUGCACCGAAGCUGCGGCAGCGACGCUGAUGCGUUGUUGGGUAGGGGAGCGUUCUGUAAGCCUGUGAAGGUGUGCUGUGAGGCAUGCUGGAGGUAUCAGAAGUGCGAAUGCUGACAUAAGUAACGAUAAAGCGGGUGAAAAGCCCGCUCGCCGGAAGACCAAGGGUUCCUGUCCAACGUUAAUCGGGGCAGGGUGAGUCGACCCCUAAGGCGAGGCCGAAAGGCGUAGUCGAUGGGAAACAGGUUAAUAUUCCUGUACUUGGUGUUACUGCGAAGGGGGGACGGAGAAGGCUAUGUUGGCCGGGCGACGGUUGUCCCGGUUUAAGCGUGUAGGCUGGUUUUCCAGGCAAAUCCGGAAAAUCAAGGCUGAGGCGUGAUGACGAGGCACUACGGUGCUGAAGCAACAAAUGCCCUGCUUCCAGGAAAAGCCUCUAAGCAUCAGGUAACAUCAAAUCGUACCCCAAACCGACACAGGUGGUCAGGUAGAGAAUACCAAGGCGCUUGAGAGAACUCGGGUGAAGGAACUAGGCAAAAUGGUGCCGUAACUUCGGGAGAAGGCACGCUGAUAUGUAGGUGAGGUCCCUCGCGGAUGGAGCUGAAAUCAGUCGAAGAUACCAGCUGGCUGCAACUGUUUAUUAAAAACACAGCACUGUGCAAACACGAAAGUGGACGUAUACGGUGUGACGCCUGCCCGGUGCCGGAAGGUUAAUUGAUGGGGUUAGCGCAAGCGAAGCUCUUGAUCGAAGCCCCGGUAAACGGCGGCCGUAACUAUAACGGUCCUAAGGUAGCGAAAUUCCUUGUCGGGUAAGUUCCGACCUGCACGAAUGGCGUAAUGAUGGCCAGGCUGUCUCCACCCGAGACUCAGUGAAAUUGAACUCGCUGUGAAGAUGCAGUGUACCCGCGGCAAGACGGAAAGACCCCGUGAACCUUUACUAUAGCUUGACACUGAACAUUGAGCCUUGAUGUGUAGGAUAGGUGGGAGGCUUAGAAGUGUGGACGCCAGUCUGCAUGGAGCCGACCUUGAAAUACCACCCUUUAAUGUUUGAUGUUCUAACGUUGACCCGUAAUCCGGGUUGCGGACAGUGUCUGGUGGGUAGUUUGACUGGGGCGGUCUCCUCCUAAAGAGUAACGGAGGAGCACGAAGGUUGGCUAAUCCUGGUCGGACAUCAGGAGGUUAGUGCAAUGGCAUAAGCCAGCUUGACUGCGAGCGUGACGGCGCGAGCAGGUGCGAAAGCAGGUCAUAGUGAUCCGGUGGUUCUGAAUGGAAGGGCCAUCGCUCAACGGAUAAAAGGUACUCCGGGGAUAACAGGCUGAUACCGCCCAAGAGUUCAUAUCGACGGCGGUGUUUGGCACCUCGAUGUCGGCUCAUCACAUCCUGGGGCUGAAGUAGGUCCCAAGGGUAUGGCUGUUCGCCAUUUAAAGUGGUACGCGAGCUGGGUUUAGAACGUCGUGAGACAGUUCGGUCCCUAUCUGCCGUGGGCGCUGGAGAACUGAGGGGGGCUGCUCCUAGUACGAGAGGACCGGAGUGGACGCAUCACUGGUGUUCGGGUUGUCAUGCCAAUGGCACUGCCCGGUAGCUAAAUGCGGAAGAGAUAAGUGCUGAAAGCAUCUAAGCACGAAACUUGCCCCGAGAUGAGUUCUCCCUGACCCUUUAAGGGUCCUGAAGGAACGUUGAAGACGACGACGUUGAUAGGCCGGGUGUGUAAGCGCAGCGAUGCGUUGAGCUAACCGGUACUAAUGAACCGUGAGGCUUAACCUUACAACGCCGAAGCUGUU